UACAGAGGUGGCAAGCGUUGUUCGGAAUUACUGGGCGUAAAGGGCGCGUAGGCGGCCUUCUAAGUCAGACGUGAAAUCCCCAGGCUUAACUUGGGAACUGCGUCCGAUACUGACAGGCUUGAAUCCGGGAGAGGGAUGCGGAAUUCCAGGUGUAGCGGUGAAAUGCGUAGAUAUCUGGAGGAACACCGGUGGCGAAGGCGGCAUCCUGGACCGGCAUUGACGCUGAGGCGCGAAAGCUAGGGGAGCAAACAGG
rnacentral:rRNA from 1 species